UGUUUCCUCAAAAGGAAAAACAAGUGAUUGUUUUGGACGCAUGAGUAUUGUUGUUUCCUGCUACUUAUCCGCCUGAGAUUUCGUCGCAACCAAGAAAACAUUAAUUGUAGAGAAGAAAUUCUCCUUCUAUAGCUGAAGCAUCCCCUAUUCAUGUAUACACAAGGCGUGUAGAUAUGUCAAGGUUUCGUGUCAAACCAUCGUCAUGUUAUCAAUGUCUUUUUGGGGGAAGGUAUCCAUAUGGAUUAUCAUCAUCACCUUUUCUUACGUACAAGGAUCACAAGUGGUCAAUUACC
rnacentral:lncRNA from 1 species